GAUGAACGCUGGCGGCGUGCCUAAUACAUGCAAGUCGAGCGAACAGAUGAGGAGCUUGCUCCUCUGACGUUAGCGGCGGACGGGUGAGUAACACGUGGAUAACCUACCUAUAAGACUGGGAUAACUUCGGGAAACCGGAGCUAAUACCGGAUAAUAUAUUGAACCGCAUGGUUCAAUAGUGAAAGACGGUUUUGCUGUCACUUAUAGAUGGAUCCGCGCCGCAUUAGCUAGUUGGUAAGGUAACGGCUUACCAAGGCAACGAUGCGUAGCCGACCUGAGAGGGUGAUCGGGCACACUGGGACUGAGACACGGUCCAGACUCCUACGGGAGGCAGCAGUAGGGAAUCUUCCGCAAUGGGCGAAAGCCUGACGGAGCAACGCCGCGUGAGUGAUGAAGGUCUUCGGAUCGUAAAACUCUGUUAUUAGGGAAGAACAAAUGUGUAAGUAACUAUGCACGUCUUGACGGUACCUAAUCAGAAAGCCACGGCUAACUACGUG
rnacentral:rRNA from 1 species